UACGUAGGUGGCAAGCGUUGUCCGGAUUUACUGGGCGUAAAGGGCGCGUAGGCGGGCUGCCGCGUCCGGGGUGAAAUCCCACGGCUCAACCGUGGAACUGCCUGUCAGACUGCAUGGCUUGAGACCAGGAGAGGUGAGUGGAAUUCCCAGUGUAGCGGUGAAAUGCGUAGAUAUUGGGAGGAACACCAGUGGCGAAGGCGGCUCACUGGACUGGUACUGACGCUGAGGCGCGAAAGCGUGGGGAGCAAACAGG
rnacentral:rRNA from 1 species